rnacentral:rRNA from 1 species
AGAGUUUGAUCCUGGCUCAGGACGAACGCUGGCGGCGUGCUUAACACAUGCAAGUCGAACGCUGAAGCUCAGCUUUUGUUGGGUGGAUGAGUGGCGAACGGGUGAGUAACACGUGAGUAACCUGCCCCUUCUUUGGGAUAACGCCCGGAAACGGGUGCUAAUACUGGAUAUUCACUUGCCUUCGCAUGGGGGUUGGUGGAAAGGGUUUUUUCUGGUGGGGGAUGGGCUCGCGGCCUAUCAGCUUGUUGGUGGGGUGAUGGCCUACCAAGGCUUUGACGGGUAGCCGGCCUGAGAGGGUGACCGGUCACAUUGGGACUGAGAUACGGCCCAGACUCCUACGGGAGGCAGCAGUGGGGAAUAUUGCACAAUGGGCGAAAGCCUGAUGCAGCGACGCCGCGUGAGGGAUGGAGGCCUUCGGGUUGUAAACCUCUUUCGCUCAUGGUCAAGCCGCAGCUUUGGGUUGUGGUGAGGGUAGUGGGUAAAGAAGCGCCGGCUAACUACGUG